rnacentral:rRNA from 1 species
UACGUAGGGCGCAAGCGUUGUCCGGAAUUAUUGGGCGUAAAGAGCUCGUAGGCGGUGUGUCGCGUCGGCCGUGAAAACUUGCAGCUUAACUGUGGGCGUGCGGUCGAUACGGGCAUCACUGGAGUUCGGCAGGGGAGACUGGAAUUCCUGGUGUAGCGGUGAAAUGCGCAGAUAUCAGGAGGAACACCGGUGGCGAAGGCGGGUCUCUGGGCCGAUACUGACGCUGAGGAGCGAAAGCGUGGGGAGCGAACAGG